rnacentral:rRNA from 1 species
GAUGAACGCUGGCGGCGUGCCUAAUACAUGCAAGUCGAGCGAACGGACGAGAAGCUUGCUUCUCUGAUGUUAGCGGCGGACGGGUGAGUAACACGUGGAUAACCUACCUAUAAGACUGGGAUAACUUCGGGAAACCGUAGCUAAGACCGGAUAAUAUUUUGAACCGCAUUGUGCAAAAGUGAAAGACGGUCUUGCUGUCACUUAUAGAUUGAUCCGCGCUGCAUUAGCUAGUUGGUAAGGUAACGGCUUAGCAACGCAAGGAUGCAUAGACGCCCUGAGAGGGAGAUCGGACACCCUGGCACAGAGACACGGCACAGACUCCUACGGGAGGAAGCAGUCGGGACUCUUCCGCGAUGGGCGAAAGCCUGACGGUGCACCGCGGGGUGAGUGAUGAAGCACUUAGGAUCGUAAAACUCUGUUAUUCGGGAAGAACAUAUGCGUAAGUAACUGUGAACAUCUUGACGGUACCUAAUCAGAAAGCCACGGCUAACUACGUG